rnacentral:rRNA from 1 species
AAACUCACGCUAAUACCGCAUACGCCCUACGGGGAAAGCGGGGGAUCUUCGGACCUCGCGCUAUGAGAUGAGCCUGCGUUAGAUUAGCUAGUUGGUAGGGUAAAGGCCUACCAAGGCGACGAUCUAUAGCUGGUCUGAGAGGACGAUCAGCCACACUGGGACUGAGACACGGCCCAGACUCCUACGGGAGGCAGCAGUGGGGAAUAUUGGACAAUGGGCGCAAGCCUGAUCCAGCAAUACCGCGUGUGUGAAGAAGGCCUUAGGGUUGUAAAGCACUUUCAAUUGGGAGGAAAACCUGUCGGUCAAUACCCGGCAGCUUGACAUUACCUUUAGAAGAAGCACCGGCUAACUCCGUG